CAAGAGAUGUGGUUUCAAUCCCUAGGUGGUGAAGAUCCCCUAGAGGAGGAAAUGGCAACCCACUCCAGUAUUCUUGCCUGAAAAAUCCAAUAGAAAGAGGAGCCUGGCAGGCUACAGUCCAUGGGGUCUCAAGGAGUUGGACAUGACUAAGGACAUGUCCAAAAGCUAGAGACAAAGGCAGAAGGAAGAUCAUAGAGGACUUGGUAAGCCAUGAUGAAAAUCUAUACUUUGUCUAGUUGGUAAUGGAGUUUAAGCAAGGGAGUAGCAUUACCAUUUUGCUUUAUUUUUUUCUUUACUCUUUAAGAGAAGGGAGCCAGCUUGUCACUUAGGAAAUCAGUUAAGAGACCAAAGCACCUGCCCAAGAGAGAAAGCAGAGAGCUGGUAUUCAGAUAGUUGCAGAGUGCAGGGAGGAUGGGAGGAGGUGGUGUGGAGAGAUGUCAUAGAAUAGAAUAGAAUGUAUAGAUCUUGUCUUGGUGACCAGUUGAUUGCAGGAGAGAGAGUAGGACUUCUGGUCUGGGUGGUUAGGUAGAUCAUGGGGCCAUUUACUAAGAUGAAGACACAGUUAAAACUAUUGGAUAGUUCAUAUAAAGAAUAUUAAUGAAUUCAAUAUACGAUUAAUGGGAUGUUGUCACUGUUUUUCUCCAAAGCAUGCGCUCAGACAGAACAGCGGGCAGAGGUUGCAGUCUCCUCACAGGAAGGAUUUGAGGAAAGUGUUGAUCAUUAUCCAUCUAUGGCUUCCCCGGUGGUACUAAUGGUACAGGAUCCACCUGCCAGUGCAGGAGAUGCAAGAGAUGUAGGUUUGAUCCUUGGGUUGGGAAGAUCCCCUGGAGGAGGAAAUGGCAACCGACUCCAGUAUUCUUGCCUGGAGAAUUCCACAGACAGAGGAGCCUGCUGUAUUUCCACGAGAAUGAAUUGCUGGUUCAUUUAUCAGGUGUGAAGGAGUGGAUGUUAACAGGUAGGCCUGAAAACUUGGGAGAAGGGAUAGCCUAUUUAAAUCAUUGUUGGUGAAGGUGUGGAGAGGUUCCUGACAGGACUGUGAGGUAAGGUGGAGGGAAUGCCAAAAGUUGAUUGAUGUCCUUCCUUUGGAUCAGAAAGUGUAAAUUUCUCUCACAGAGAUUUUGAGGUUGACAGCAUUUGCACCUCCAAAACUUUAUUGGCAUGUAAGUUAAAAUGCACAUAGCCAUCUCAUUUCUUUCAAUUAAUGCAUGCCAUUGCCUCAGGUAUACUUGUGCUCAGAUUUUCAGACUGAUCAACUCCUAUCUACCUUUGAGGAUCUAGCCAUAAGGCCACCUCCUUUCCCCAGCUCUUCCGGUAGAGUAAUUGCUUCCUUCUCUGUAUUUCCUCAGCACUUGUCACUGUGUGUACUCUGUGGUGUCACAAUUUAUCUUGGACACAAUGUCUUUCCUGCUAGAGUGAACUUUUCUAGGCUGGGGUCCUGUUUUAAUGCUUUCUGUAUCCUUGGCACCCAGCACAAACCAGCCAGAGCAGGCUCCUAAUAAAAGUCUGUUGAGUGGAUGAAUGAAAUGGCAAGGAAAGGACCGUGUACACACUUGGAUUCUUCUUAAACACAUAGUUGAUCAAUUUUGUUUUUAAGACCUAGUUGUGUUGAAAAACAAGUGGCAACUGUGAGGUGAGGAUUAGGUGAGAAGAGAUAACCCG
ensembl:lncRNA